AUGAACGCUAGCUACAGGCUUAACACAUGCAAGUCGAGGGGCAGCAUGAACUUAGCUUGCUAAGUUUGAUGGCGACCGGCGCACGGGUGAGUAACACGUAUCCAACCUGCCGAUGACUCGGGGAUAGCCUUUCGAAAGAAAGAUUAAUACCCGAUGGCAUAGUUCUUCCGCAUGGUAGAACUAUUAAAGAAUUUCGGUCAUCGAUGGGGAUGCGUUCCAUUAGGUUGUUGGCGGGGUAACGGCCCACCAAGCCUUCGAUGGAUAGGGGUUCUGAGAGGAAGGUCCCCCACAUUGGAACUGAGACACGGUCCAAACUCCUACGGGAGGCAGCAGUGAGGAAUAUUGGUCAAUGGACGAGAGUCUGAACCAGCCAAGUAGCGUGAAGGAUGACUGCCCUAUGGGUUGUAAACUUCUUUUAUACGGGAAUAAAGUGAGGCACGUGUGCCUUUUUGUAUGUACCGUAUGAAUAAGGAUCGGCUAACUCCGUGCCAGCAGCCGCGGUAAUACGGAGGAUCCGAGCGUUAUCCGGAUUUAUUGGGUUUAAAGGGAGCGUAGGCGGACGCUUAAGUCAGUUGUGAAAGUUUGCGGCUCAACCGUAAAAUUGCAGUUGAUACUGGGUGUCUUGAGUACAGUAGAGGCAGGCGGAAUUCGUGGUGUAGCGGUGAAAUGCUUAGAUAUCACGAAGAACUCCGAUUGCGAAGGCAGCUUGCUGGACUGUAACUGACGCUGAUGCUCGAAAGUGUGGGUAUCAAACAGGAUUAGAUACCCUGGUAGUCCACACAGUAAACGAUGAAUACUCGCUGUUUGCGAUAUACAGUAAGCGGCCAAGCGAAAGCGUUAAGUAUUCCACCUGGGGAGUACGCCGGCAACGGUGAAACUCAAAGGAAUUGACGGGGGCCCGCACAAGCGGAGGAACAUGUGGUUUAAUUCGAUGAUACGCGAGGAACCUUACCCGGGCUUGAAUUGCAACUGAAUGAUGUGGAGACAUGUCAGCCGCAAGGCAGUUGUGAAGGUGCUGCAUGGUUGUCGUCAGCUCGUGCCGUGAGGUGUCGGCUUAAGUGCCAUAACGAGCGCAACCCUUAUCGAUAGUUACCAUCAGGUUAUGCUGGGGACUCUGUCGAGACUGCCGUCGUAAGAUGUGAGGAAGGUGGGGAUGACGUCAAAUCAGCACGGCCCUUACGUCCGGGGCUACACACGUGUUACAAUGGGGGGUACAGAAGGCAGCUACACGGUGACGUGAUGCUAAUCCCGAAAGCCUCUCUCAGUUCGGAUUGGAGUCUGCAACCCGACUCCAUGAAGCUGGAUUCGCUAGUAAUCGCGCAUCAGCCACGGCGCGGUGAAUACGUUCCCGGGCCUUGUACACACCGCCCGUCACACCAUGGGAGUGGGUUGCAAAAGAAGUAGGUAGCUUAACCUUCGGGAGGGCGCUUACCACUUUGUGAUUCAUGACUGGGGUG
rnacentral:rRNA from 1 species